CACGAACGCUGGCGGCGUGCCUAAUACAUGCAAGUUGAGCGGAUGACGGAGGAGCUUGCUCCUCCUGAUUCAGCGGCGGACGGGUGAGUAACACGUGGGCAACCUGCCCUGUAGAUUGGGAUAACUCCGGGAAACCGGGGCUAAUACCGAAUAAUCCUUCGGACCUCAUGGUCCGAUGUUGAAAGACGGCAUCUCGCUGUCACUACAGGAUGGGCCCGCGGCGCAUUAGCUAGUUGGUGAGGUAACGGCUCACCAAGGCCACGAUGCGUAGCCGACCUGAGAGGGUGAUCGGCCACACUGGGACUGAGACACGGCCCAGACUCCUACGGGAGGCAGCAGUAGGGAAUCUUCCACAAUGGACGAAAGUCUGAUGGAGCAACGCCGCGUGAGUGAAGAAGGUUCUCGGAUCGUAAAACUCUGUUGUGAGGGAAGAACAAGUACCGGAGUAACUGCCGGUGCCUUGACGGUACCUCAUUAGAAAGCCACGGCUAACUACGUGCCAGCCGCCGCGGUAAGAC
rnacentral:rRNA from 1 species